UAGCGCAAAAAGUGAAGUCGCAGAUGGCAGAUGCUCUACUCUUCUCUCUCGGUAACUCGAUUUACAUUUUACACCCAUGGACUCCGAUUCAGACUCCGACGGCUCUCACAUCUCCGCCACUCCUCCACGAGACCCGUUCCCCCCUCCGCGGCGGCCACCGCCUCCUAAACCUCCUACCUCCUCCUACAAAUCCAAGAUCAAGCCGUCCUCUCAUUCAGAAACCAUUUCUAAACUCAAAAAACCAUCUCCAAAACAUACGAAACCCGAACCCCCACCCAAAUCCAUUCCACAAACAGAGCCACCGCCCCUCCCUUCUCCCAUCGGCACUCUUCCCUUCCAGAUACGCCGUCCACCGAAUCAACCCCACCCAGUCUCCACAGUCCGUUCCCUCGAAACGCUCCCCGCCGGUUUCUUCUCUACACACCGCGCCUCCUUCUCCAAAAUCCAGAAACCUUCCCUCAGUUUCGAACCAGAAAUCACACCACAAAAAACCACCGAACGUAAAAUAAACAUCUCUGAUUUCUCAGAUUCCUCCAAAACUUCCAACAAGAAGCUUCCUAAUUUGAUAAGAGCUGAUGCUCCUUUACCUCCAGUUAAUUUACAAAAACGCAGUGUCGAAGGUAACUUCGUGAAGCUCAAUAUCAACGGCUAUAAACGCAAGUUCACCACCAAAGGUAAAAAGACGAACAGUUACUCUUCCAAAUCGAAGUAUUUCAAAAGAAGCAAGAGAAGAGUCAAAUCCGAAGUCAAUACGGAGAGCAUUUGUGACGAAGAAGGUUUAGUUGCGGAAAUUAAGCAGCAGCCUAAAGCGGAGAAAAAUAUAAAGUUCGAGUCUAUCGAAGCGGCGAUUUCGGCCGUUCGAAAGGAGGCGUCAGAUGAGAACCUGGUGAGGUUGUUGAAAGCGAUGUACGGGUAUGAUUCGUUCAGGGAUGGACAGGUGGAAGCGAUCAAGAUGGUGCUUGCUGGCAAAUCGACUAUUCUGGUUUUGCCCACCGGAGCUGGGAAGUCGCUUUGUUAUCAGAUUCCGGCGGUAGUUUUGCCGGGGAUUACGUUGGUCGUGAGUCCGUUGGUGGCUUUGAUGAUUGAUCAGUUAAAACAGUUGCCUCCCGUUAUUCGAGGUGGUCUCUUGUCUAGCAGUCAGGGACCUGAAGAGGCUGCCGAGACGCAGAGGCUGAUUCAAGAAGGGAGCAUAAAAGUGCUUUUUGUUUCACCAGAAAGAUUUUUGAAUGCAGACUUUUUGUCAAUAUUUUCCGCUACUACCUUUGUAUCACUUGUUGUGGUAGAUGAAGCUCAUUGUGUAUCUGAAUGGUCACACAAUUUCCGGCCCUCAUACAUGCGGCUUAGGGCAUCUUUACUUCGUGCAGAACUCAAUGUUGAAUGCAUUCUUGCAAUGACUGCUACUGCCACAACCACGACUUUGCAUUCUGUUAUGUCAGCUCUAGAGAUUCCCUCAACCAAUCUCAUUCAAAAGGCACAAUUAAGGGAUAACCUACGGUUAUCAGUUUCUUUGAGUGGCAAUAGAAUGAAGGAUAUGCUAAAGUUGAUGAAGUCCUCUCCUUUUUCGGAAGCUCAAAGCAUUAUUGUUUACUGCAAAUUUCAGUCUGAAACUGAUCUGAUAAGCAGGCACUUAUGUGAUAACAAUAUUUCUGCAAAGAGUUACCAUAGUGGUAUGAUGGCAAGGGAUCGCAGCCGCAUACAGGAGUUGUUUUGUGCUAACAAGAUUAGAGUGGUUGUUGCAACUGUCGCUUUUGGCAUGGGGCUUGACAAGAGGGAUGUCGGAGCUGUAAUUCAUUAUAGCUUGCCAGAAAGCUUGGAAGAGUAUGUCCAGGAGAUUGGGCGUGGUGGACGAGAUGGAAGAUUGUCCUAUUGCCAUCUCUUUUUAGAUGAUGUAACAUAUUACAAGCUCCGUAGUCUCAUGCACAGUGAUGGAGUGGAUGAAUAUGCAGUAAACAAAUUCCUUUGUCAAGUUUUUGCUGAUGACACAAAUUCACAUGGGAAAGUUUGUUCACUAAUCAAAGAAUCUGCAUCUCGCAAAUUUGAUAUGAAAGAAGAGGUAAUGCUCACACUCCUAACCCAUCUGGAGUUGGGUGAAAGACAAUACUUGCAUCUGCUUCCACAGCUAAAUGUUACUUGCACUCUGAAUUUCCAUAAGACUUCCCCAACCUUGCUUGCUGACAAGGAUACUGCAGUAGCAGCCAUUCUGAAGAAGUCUGAAAUUAAGCAAGGGCAGUAUGAGCUCGAUAUACCCACUGUGGCAAAUAGCAUUGGGGUUGCACCUAGUGACCUGUUGAAUCACUUGCAGAAUCUUAAGGUAAAAGGAGAAAUUACAUAUGAGCUGAAGGAUCCAGCCUACUGCUAUAAGAUUGUGGAGGUUCCUAGUGACUUUUGUUCUCUCUCGGCACUUCUUACCAGAUGGUUACUGGAUAUUGAAAAUUGCAAGGUAUGGAAAUUGGACACUGUGUACAGUGCUGCAGUCUUUGCAGUGGAUGCAUGUGAGAAGGCACAUGGUUGCAAUGUUUCCCAGCAGACAUCAUGCUUGCAACAGAGGAUUUUGGAUUAUUUUAAGGGAGACAAUAAUCCUGAUGUCCUUGAUAAGAUGACUCACAAUAGCCCUUUUUUGCGAGCAGAUAUAAAGGUCUUUCUGCAGAGCAAUUCGCAUAUUAAGUUUACUCCAAGAGCUGUCGCAAGGAUAAUGCAUGGCAUUGGGAGCCCAGCCUAUCCUUCUUCAACUUGGUCAAAAUCUCAUUUUUGGGGAAGGUAUACACAGAUAGAUUUCAAAGCAGUUAUGAAUGCAGCGAAGGCAGAACUUAUGAAUUUUGUUGGGAAGGAUGCACCUUUGUUUGCUUAGUGUCAUGUUAAAAUGCAAGCAACUGAAGUAGAGAGUCAUUUCAAGGUACAGAAGUGGGUGUGCAGAAUAGAGAAAACCUGGUAAAAAGGCGAUGACAUGCAGGUGUAAUUUAUAUGGCAGACUGCAUAAAUGAUAUAUAUGGUACAAAAAAUUUGAAGUUUGGGGGGGGGGGGGAGGGGGGGGUUCACUUAUUUUUCCUGGCUCUCCUCCCCCACCAUGAGAGAGCUGGGUGGGGAAUUGAACGGCAGCUGGGGGUUGAGAGUGAAUGAGGCUAUUAUCAUAUUAGUUUAAAUUCUUUAUUUAUUAUUUAUAUUGCACAUAUGGGAAUGAGAUGAUUAAAAAUCCCUUACCUGGCAUUGAAUGUAUGGAUAGUGAUUUAUCAAGGAACAAAGAAAGGAAUCUGGAUUAUACCAGAAUAUGUGGGAGUUAUUCCUAAAUAAAAGCCCGUUUAGGGUGUCAAAUCAAGUUAAUACCAUUUUAA